GACGAACGCUGGCGGCGUGCUUAACACAUGCAAGUCGAACGGAAAGGCCCUGCUUUUGUGGGGUGCUCGAGUGGCGAACGGGUGAGUAACACGUGAGUAACCUGCCCUUGACUUUGGGAUAACUUCAGGAAACUGGGGCUAAUACCGGAUAGGAGCUCCUGCUGCAUGGUGUGGGUUGGAAAGUUUCGGCGGUUGGGGAUGGACUCGCGGCUUAUCAGCUUGUUGGUGGGGUAGUGGCUUACCAAGGCUUUGACGGGUAGCCGGCCUGAGAGGGUGACCGGCCACAUUGGGACUGAGGUACGGCCCAGACUCCUACGGGAGGCAGCAGUGGGGAAUAUUGCACAAUGGGCGGAAGCCUGAUGCAGCAACGCCGCGUGCGGGAUGACGGCCUUCGGGUUGUAAACCGCUUUCGCCUGUGACGAAGCGUGAGUGACGGUAAUGGGUAAAGAAGCACCGGCUAACUACGUG
rnacentral:rRNA from 1 species